UACUUUUAUUGUGUUUUAAUUCAAAAAGGGUUUUUAGAAGAAAAUUUAAUUUAUUUUCAUUUACCAAAAGUAGUGGCCUGAGUUUUGUUUUGAACAGGUUAAGAGAAAUAUUUUUCUGUCCAUUAUUCAAUAAAGUGUUCCACAACUCAGGGCUUUACAUUUGAAAUUUAGUAGCAGAGUAGUAAGUUUUUGAUUGGUUGUAAUUGUAUUUUGAAAUCUGGUAGGAUAUAUGUGAUUCAUUUUUUCAAAAAGUGAACUAAUUUUAACAUUCUCUUGCAGAAGAAGCUUAAAUCGAAAUCUUGGAAAACUUUCAAACAUUCUAGAAGAACUAUAAACUUAUUUAAUAUCAUUUCAUACUUUGUAAUUUGAUUAAAUGAUUAAAUUAAUAUAUUUUUGUA